rnacentral:rRNA from 1 species
UGCCAGCCGCCGCGGUAAUACGGAGGGUACGAGCGUUGUUCGGAAUUACUGGGCGUAAAGCGCGUGUAGGCGGCCGUACAAGUCGGGUGUGAAAUCCCGGGGCUCAACCCCGGAACUGCACCCGAAACUGUAUGGCUAGAGUCCCGGAGGGGGUGGCGGAAUUUCCGGUGUAGAGGUGAAAUUCGUAGAUAUCGGAAGGAACACCAGUGGCGAAGGCGACUUCCUGGGCCAAUACUGACGCUGAGGUGCGAAAGCGUGGGGAGCAAACAGGAUUAGAUAC